GACAGAGGGGGCAAGCGUUGCUCGGAAUCACUGGGCGUAAAGGGCGCGUAGGCGGGGGACCAAGUCGGUCGUGAAAUCUCCGGGCCCAACCCGGAGGGGUCGGCCGAAACUGGUUUUCUUGAGGGGCGCAGAGGAGCCUGGAAUUCCCGGUGUAGCGGUGAAAUGUGUAGAGAUCGGGAGGAACACCGGUGGCGAAGGCGGGGCUCUGGGCGCACCCUGACGCUGAGGCGCGAAGGCGUGGGGAGCAAACGGGAUUAGAAACCCCUGUAGU
rnacentral:rRNA from 1 species